rnacentral:tRNA from 1 species
UAGCUUAGUGGGUUAGAGAGUUGGUCUUAUAAGCCGAAGGUCGUGAGUGAGAGCCUCAC